GGGCUUCCCAUGCCGCGGGCCUGCGCCUAUAUCGGCCGGGUCGGUUUCACCGGCUAUGGCGAUAAACUGCGGCGUACAAUAGGCGCAGCGGACCCGGGGGCAGUACCCGGCGGCUCCACCACCCGAGCUGAGGCGCUCGGCGCCACGGUUCACGCGUGGCACCGGGCCUUAGGUCGAAUGACGGGGCCGAACCAGGAUCGACGUGUGUUGAAAAGCGCUGUUUUCGCUCGGAAUGGGACCACCGCAACGGCCCAUUACACAAGUGCCAACGAUAACGAAGCACUCGCGAUUGCGGCGUAACUGAGGGCCUCACGGCCUAAGGUUACUCCAAGAUAGCGCGGUUCGGACCCCACCGGGCAACAGAAGGGGAAACC
rnacentral:tmRNA from 1 species